AGUACAGGUUUCAGAAAAGUUUCUUUUUGGGCGCAACGUAACUCGAAAUACUGCAAGGGCCUCACAGAAGGGAUCCUGUCACGGCGCUAUGCAGAAGUGACACGCCCGAAACCUCCACCUCUGUAAAGGAUCCAUGACGUGGAUUAUGGGGUUCAUGUUCGAAAGAUAAAGGUCACGAUAAAAGUACACCGUCUAUCCCAAGUACACAGAUCGCUCAUCAGCAUCUCCAGCACCCGUCCUAUCACAAACAAUGCUGUCGAGUCAACCGAUCACAAGAUGUGCUAAAAUCCUCUCAUCUGCAGUUCUUUUUCAUUCCUCUUUCUUCAUUACUAAAUGAUGAAGAUCCAUAUACCUUUGCAUCGACAUUUACAAAUGAACAAACAAUCAAAGCUUCGCCUUUUUAUUGCUCUUCUUCAUCCACCCAUCUACCAACUCUCCGACCUCCUUUGCGAUCCCCAAACUCGCCUGAUACCCCGCCGGCCCAAUCCCAUAAGCAUGCACUACCCCAACCUUCCUCCCACCUCCUACCUUCCCUCCCUUUGUAGCCAAACCCGCAUUCACUUUUUCCCCUAUCACUCUCUCCUCCACCUCACACCUCAAUCCCGCCUCACGUACGGGCCUCAACCCCACAUUGUGCGAAAUCACCUCGAUAUCCUUCCAUGUGCCCUUUCCGCCCUUCCCAUCCAAGCGCGGGCAGAGGGUAUGGCACUGUUUAAGGAUCUCCUCUGCGACUUCAGGGUUGACGUUGGUAGACCAGUCGUUAGGGAAGUAACAUCCGCCGAGAAUGACGUACCCGUCCGGCCCUGGACGGGGGAUGAUAUAUGCCUUUUGGCCCGGUUGAGCGAGAGGGUCUACAAGGCCAUAACAUUCCUUCACCGGCGCUCGCACGAGAACUGUCUGUCCUUUCGCUGGAUAAACGGUGGGGUCUUCGACUCCAAGCAGGGAACGGGCCCCAAGACCGGUAGCAUUAAUCACCAAGUCUACAGAGCCAAGUUGGGGAAGAGAGUAUGCUUCGUCGAGUGAGGAGAGUCGGGCGCGGAGGAUGGGGACGCGCGCCGAGCGGAGGGUAGAAGCAAGAUGGAGGAGGUAGAGCGGAGUGUUGAGCGUGUAGGCUUCAUAAGUUACACCGUAUUUGAAUGGUGCAUGGACUUCCUCGGGUUUGAGCAUCCUGUACUGUGUUUAUUAGGUUAGCUCUUUCCUUUCCUAUAUACCGGCGAAAAAAAACACCGCUGAUAUGAUAAUACAACUACAGACUCACCCCAAACACCACAUCCUUGUACCAAGGCUCUUUCCACGCACCUUCGCCUUUCCAUAAAUAAUACUUCGUUGAUUGCAAAAGAGUGCCAGUUCGCUCCCUUCACAUGUAUCCCACGAUCAGCUCCUUCUUGGCUUGUAAAGACAGCUACGAUCACUGUUCCGAACUAAUUGUGUAGUACGAGGUCGAUACUGUGGAUAUGGGGGAAUGAAACGAAACUCACAGCCCAAGGAGAAGCAAAGCCAGUACUAUCCAGAUCUUCAGGCAAAUCGUUGCCUACCACAGCGACUUUAAGACCUUUCAAAAGGGUCAGGUCCGAGGGGAUCAUUUCAUAAUAUGAGGAUGAGGAAGGAAAGACAGGCUCACCUCCUGAACCGAGGAUGACAGCGUCGUAUUUUACCAUAAUUGUUAUAGUGUCAUAAAUUGCUGAACUCGCCCAGGGGGAGGGAAGGUAGUUUCAGUAUGGAUACCGAUAAAUAUAGAGGUGAUGAAUGUGCGCUUCCUUUUCUCAACAG
rnacentral:sRNA from 1 species